UACGGGGGGAGCAAACGUUGUUCGGAAUCACUGGGCGUAAAGGGCGUGUAGGCGGCUGGAUAAGUGGGAUGUUAAAUCCCCCGGCUCAACCGGGGACCUGCAUCUCAUACUGUUCAGCUCGAGCACAUCAGAGGAGACUGGAAUUCCCGGUGUAGCGGUGAAAUGCGCAGAUAUCAGGAGGAACACCAGUGGCGAAGGCGGUUACCUGGAGCUUUGCUGACGCUGAUGCGCGAAAGCGUGGGGAGCGAUCCGG
rnacentral:rRNA from 1 species